UACAGAGGUCUCAAGCGUUGUUCGGAUUCAUUGGGCGUAAAGGGUGCGUAGGCGGCACGGUAAGUCGGGUGUGAAAUCUCGGAGCUUAACUCCGAAACUGCAUUCGAUACUGCCGUGCUUGAGGACUGGAGAGGAGACUGGAAUUUACGGUGUAGCGGUGAAAUGCGUAGAUAUCGGAAGGAACGCCGGUGGCGAAAGCGGCCCGCUGGACCCUCUCGUGACGCUGAGGCGCGAAAGCCAGGGGAGCAAACGGG
rnacentral:rRNA from 1 species